AGUGGCAGACGGGUGAGUAAUGCGUAGGAAUCUACCUAGUAGUAUGGAAUAGCCAUUAGAAAUGAUGGGUAAUACUGUAUAAUCCCUGCGGGGGAAAGAUUUAUCGCUAUUAGAUGAGCCUACGUUAGAUUAGCUAGUUGGUAAGGUAAUGGCUUACCAAGGCUAUGAUCUAUAGCUGGUCUGAGAGGACGAUCAGCCUCACUGGAACUGA
rnacentral:rRNA from 1 species